UGUGUCCCCCCCGUCCCUCCUCCCGUGCCGGGGAUGGAGCCGCAGGGCACGGCCGCCGGCCCCCGUGGUGACAUCGAUCCGGCAGAGCGUGCACGAAGUCAAACAGGGACAAAGCUCCGUUUAUAAAGGAGGACGUCAGCAUGAGGAAACAAAAGCUGCUGACGGCCACGGGAUGCCUUGGAGGAGCAGGAGCCCCGGAGAGCCAGCAGCCAGAGGGUUAAGGCGUGCACAGUGAGCAGGGGUGGCAGCAGGAGGGAUGCCCGGUGGGGUCCUGGCCCCUCUGCCCAAGCAGCACGGGCGCAGGUGAGGGUGCUGAGCCCUGAGGUGCUGUCCUGUCCCUGCUG